rnacentral:rRNA from 1 species
UACGUAGGGUGCAAGCGUUAAUCGGAAUUACUGGGCGUAAAGCGUGCGCAGGCGGCUAUGCAAGACAGAUGUGAAAUCCCCGGGCUCAACCUGGGAACUGCAUUUGAGACUGCAUGGCUAGAGUGCGGCAGAGGGGGAUGGAAUUCCGCGUGUAGCAGUGAAAUGCGUAGAUAUGCGGAGGAACACCGAUGGCGAAGGCAAUCCCCUGGGCCUGCACUGACGCUCAUGCACGAAAGCGUGGGGAGCAAACAGG